AGGUGCUACUGAAAUUGAAGUGCAUUUUGUUCUGGUUUAUACAAGUGAUAAAUUGUUUUGAAAACAUUUUAUAUCUAGAAAUUAGAAAGUACAGAUCUUCCUUUUUCAUUUUGAAUUAGUACUUCACAAAGGAUGUCCUGUAACUAUGCCCACUGCACAGAGCUGUGGCCGCAGGAGCCACACUAGAAGGGAAGCUAUGGUGCAUCAAAGAGAACUUAAAAAUGACAACUCUCUUCAUCACAAAAGAAAAGAUUGAGGUUUGAUAAGCAUGGUCACAAAGAAAGGAAGAGAUAGUACUGUUGUAUAUCAAAGGCAGUUAAUGUUCACUGCCUCAUUCGAGAUCUAGACAUAAAAAUAUACACUUCCUUCAUCAUUAUCAAUAUAUUCGCUUGUUUAAAGUUGUGUGCUAUCUUUGGCACUGUGAAAGACUAUUUUUCCGUAUUUUGUAAUGUACAAAUGAAAUAGCGGGGAAUAGUGCUGAUUAAACUGUAUUUUAAGCCUUUAUUGUCUCCCUAUGCAAUUCAAAGAAAUAUAUAGCUGAGCUGUAGCAUGAUGUUCACACAAGAAUGUGUAUAUGUCGAUCUGUCAGUGAAGUUCAGCGUUUUUCCAUCAAAGAUAAAGCUGGUUUAAUAAGGAUAGUCAAUAUUGCCAGCAAGAUUAUCAGCUUUCCACAGACACCUACACAUGAAAGGACAGUGAUCACUGAUGUCCGUUUCCACCUACUUUAAGAAAGGUUAAAACUGUUAAUUAUAUAUGUCUGAUAUCCCGUUCUACUAACAGCAGACAUAAGCCGUGUGACUGAAGCAGAAGUCCACUCCAAAUAAAAUCUUGUCUUGAUAACACGUGCGGUUACACCGCCACAGAACCUUAUAGACGUCUGUGAUCGAGAGGCGCGGAAACCCGUCCAUGUCUCCGAACACACCUGUUAAACCAUCUAGUGAUUAAAAAUAAACACUACGAUAAUGCAAACAAACACAGUGUGCAACAGUAAAAACAGGAAAUAAACUUUGCUGAGCAAUAAAACCGUAAAAGAAAAUCAGCGUCGACACAAAUUCAUCAAAAUAGGAAAAUGUAAGACGUGUAAACAAGGGGAGCUACUUCCAUUCACACCAAGAUACACCGAGGAGUGCUGUCCCAUGGAUAUCGAAAACACGAGGAGUCUUCCAGAAUGGCCGAAAUCUUAGAGGGAGACCCUUCAGUCAUUCCACCAGUGACAAUAUCAUCACUGGGGGGUGUAAAAGUAAGCACUCUCUCAGAGAUUACCAAUACUCAGCAAUGUGCCACCCCUCCAAAGGAGCAAGAGCAGCAAAGAAAGCCUAUGGAGACUCCUGUGUGCAGGAAACGGAAGAGACAAUCGUCAGAGCCACUUCAGAGUUGUCAUGUAAGGAACAUGGCAAUGCAGGAAGAGAUAAUGGCGGAGGAGAGGAAAAGAACAGAAUUGGAUAGACAAAGAACAGAAAUGGAUAGAGAAAGACUAGAAUUAAUGAGAAACAUUGAAAGAGAAAGAACAGAAUUUAUGAGAACCAUGGAGACACAAAGAACAGAAUUGGAUAGACAAAGAACAGAACUGGAUAGACAAAGAACAGAAUU
rnacentral:lncRNA from 1 species